GGUCGGGAACUCAAAGGAGACUGCCGUUGAUAAAGCGGAGGAAGGUGGGGACGACGUCAAGUCAUCAUGGCCCUUACGACCAGGGCUACACACGUGCUACAAUGGCGUAUACAAAGGGAAGCGAAGGUGCGAGCUCGAGCGGAUCUCAUAAAGUACGUCUAAGUUCGGAUUGGAGUCUGCAACUCGACUCCAUGAAGUCGGAAUCGCUAGUAAUCGUAGAUCAGAAUGCUACGGUGAAUACGUUCCCGGGCCUUGUACACACCGCCCGUCACACCAUGGGAGUGGGUUGCACCAGAAGUAGAUAGCUUAACCGCGGGGGGGGCGUUUACCACGGUGUGAUUCAUGACUGGGGUGAAGUCGUAACAAGGUAACCA
rnacentral:rRNA from 1 species